rnacentral:rRNA from 1 species
AACGAACGCUGGCGGCAUGCCUAACACAUGCAAGUCGAACGAGACCUUCGGGUCUAGUGGCGCACGGGUGCGUAACGCGUGGGAACCUGCCCUUAGGUUCGGAAUAACUCCCCGAAAGGGGUGCUAAUACCGGAUAAUGUCUUCGGACCAAAGAUUUAUCGCCUUUGGAUGGGCCCGCGUUGGAUUAGCUAGUUGGUAGGGUAAAAGCCUACCAAGGCGACGAUCCAUAGCUGGUCUGAGAGGAUGAUCAGCCACACUGGGACUGAGACACGGCCCAGACUCCUACGGGAGGCAGCAGCGGAGAAUAUUGGACAAUGGGCGAAAGCCUGAUCCAGCAAUGCCGCGUGAGUGAUGAAGGCCUUAGGGUUGUAAAGCUCUUUUACCCGGGAUGAUAAUGACAGUACCGGGAGAAUAAGCUCCGGCUAACUCCGUG